AAGAAAUCUAGCUGAGUAAAGCAAGCAGGAGAGCAUAUGUGUUUUCAUAUCUCUCUGCCCUUGACUGUGGGUGUAGCAUGAUCACUGUUGGAAAUUCCUGCUUUGACAUCCACACGAUGAUGGACUGUAUCCUGGAAAUGAACACUUUGAUGAUGGACCACGUCAUCCUAGUAAAGAAAUACAAUCAUGGGAUGGUAUUACAGAGAAGCACCACCAAGGGAGACAUAGAGCCAUGAAGCAGAAGAAACCUAACAGAGGUCCUUGGCACCUGGACACUCGAGGAAGGAUGUGUUUCCGGUGGAUAUUGCAUGGGGAUACUUGAG